GCUCAUUACAACAGCCAUCGUUUAUUAGAAUAUCGUUAUCCUACUUGGAUAACUGUGGCAAUUCUAGAGCUAAUACAUGCAAUAAAGCUCUGCCCGCAAGGAACGAGCGCAUUUAUUAGAAUAAAAACCAAUCGGGUUUCGACUCGUAAUUUGGUGAAUCUGAAUAACUUUGCCAAUCGCACAGUCCUAGUACUGGCGAUGUAUCUUUCAAGUGUCUGCCUUAUCAACUUUCGAUGGUACGCUAUACGCCUACCAUGGUAGUAACGGGUAACGGAGAAUAAGGGUUCGACUCCGGAGAGGGAGCCUGAGAAACGGCUACCACAUCCAAGGAAGGCAGCAGGCGCGCAAAUUACCCACUUCCAGAACGGAGAGGUAGUGACGAAAAAUAACGAGACAGUCCUCUUCGAGGUCUGUCAUCGGAAUGGGUACAAUUUAAAUCCUUUAACGAGGAUCUAUUGGAGGGCAAGUCUGGUGCCAGCAGCCGCUGUAAUUCCAGCUCCAAUAGCGUAUAUUAAAGUUGUUGCGGUUAAAACGCUCGUAGUUGGAUUUGCGGCCUCGAAGAACGGUCCCCCGAAAGGGCGGUCACUGUCUCUUCUAGCCUAAAGUCGAGUCGUCUCUAGGUGCUCUUUACUGAGUGCUUAGAGUGACUAGAACGUUUACUUUGAAAAAAUUAGAGUGCUUAAAGCAGACGAAAUAGUCUGAAUAAGGUGCAUGGAAUAAUGGAAUAGGACCUCGGUUCUAUUUUGUUGGUUUUCGGAGCCCGAGGUAAUGAUUAAGAGGAACAGACGGGGGCAUUCGUAUUCCGGCGCUAGAGGUGAAAUUC
rnacentral:rRNA from 1 species